UCCCGCUUAGCUCAGUGGUAGAGCGCAUCACUAGUAUACACUCCGGUCUAUUGUGUGCUAUGAUGAGGUCAGUCGUUCAAGUCGGCUAGUGGGAA